rnacentral:rRNA from 1 species
AGCGAACGCUGGCGGCAGGCUUAACACAUGCAAGUCGAGCGGGCACCUUUCGGGGUGUCAGCGGCGGACGGGUGAGUAACGCGUGGGAACGUGCCCUCUGGUUCGGAAUAACUCAGGGAAACUUGAGCUAAUACCGGAUACGCCCUUUUGGGGAAAGGCUUGCUGCCGGAGGAUCGGCCCGCGUCUGAUUAGCUAGUUGGUGAGGUAACGGCUCACCAAGGCGACGAUCAGUAGCUGGUCUGAGAGGAUGAUCAGCCACACUGGGACUGAGACACGGCCCAGACUCCUACGGGAGGCAGCAGUGGGGAAUAUUGGACAAUGGGCGCAAGCCUGAUCCAGCCAUGCCGCGUGAGUGAUGAAGGCCUUAGGGUUGUAAAGCUCUUUUAUCCGUGACGAUAAUGACGGUACCGGAGGAAUAAGCCCCGGCUAACUUCGUG